AUGGUACUGCUGCUCAGGGCACUGUCAACAUGAGCUGGCACAUGAGUAAAGUACAGCAAAACUGCAUUUCCCAAGCUCCUCUUCUCUCAAUGGGUCACAUGACUUGUUCUAGCCAAUAGAACGAGGGUGGAAGUAAUGUGACCACUUUCAGGUGUCCCCUAAAGUCUCCUGUGAGAUCUUCCAAUCUUGCUCUCCUCACUCUGCAUGGCUGGAAAUGAA
rnacentral:lncRNA from 10 species